GGGGACUUCCUUUAUGUGGUACAGGGUUGGGCCUGGAGACCCGGAUGCCGGCGAGGUCCUGGCUGGGAGAGGCCGCCGCUGCCUUCAGGUUUCCGAGACAAUGGAGACUCUGAGAACAUCCAGAAAUAUCCACAGGACUGGCGAGGCUGUGGGCUUUCAACCACCACGAGAGGCUGUUUGCAUAUGAUUCUUCUAAAAUUGACAUCAGUGAAAUGCCUUGAAGAUAAUAAAGUGUUGAAGAAAUAAACAAAAUCAGAAUAUAUGGGAUCAGUUAGAAAGCUCUUAUUUAAGUAAUACAAACCAUGUCCUCAGAUGUCACAGAGCUCAGGUAUAGUCAAAAUUGUUUCUUGGAUGAAUCUCUGGAGAAGGAGAGUUGGCUCUGCAGAGAUGGAUCAUCGUGUGUGUCACCCUUGCAAUGUGUUCCUGACAGCCCAUGGAAGCGGGCUAGUGGAUUCAGCUCCAGCAGUAACUGUUGGUUGGGAUGGACAACCCAGAAAUGGGGCAUGUGAGGAAGAGAAAAUGAAAGUGGAUAGCCUGUUACCGAAAACUGCUGGACUAAGACACUUAUGUAAGAAUCUUGAGCAUUUCUUGUAAGGCCAGCCUGGAGGUGAUGGAUUUCCUGUUCAUGUUAGUCCGAUAAACAUUAUAUAUUUGUUAGUUUGUGAAUAAUAAUGUUUCUAGGUAUUAUAUUAUUGGCUGGAUACUUUUUUAUUUCAAUAUUUUGAAUAUACUAUCCUACUCUAUCAUGCUCUAUCUUUGUCUUUUGAUAAUUUGAGGAAAGCAUUCUUCAGAGAGGAUCUGUUUAGUUUCAGUCUGUUUGGAAUAUUUGAGUUUCCUGGAUCUGAAUAACCAUCUAUCUCCCAUGAUAUGGGACGUUUUCUGCUCUUGUUUUAUUAAAUAUGUUUCCUACAUCAUUUUCAUUUUUUUCCCUCUGGAAUUUUCCCCUGGAUUUUCCAUAACUCAAAAACUUGUUUUCAAAUUGUGUUUUGAAAACUAUAGGGUUUCUAUGUUUUUAAAAUUUUAUCUUCCUUCCUUCCUUCCUUCCUUCCUUCCUUCCUUCCUUCCUUCCUUCCUUCCUUCCUUCUCUCUUUCAUUCUCUUUUUUUUUCUUUUUGGUCUGCUGGAAUUAUUUUGAAAGACUUGUCUUCAAGCUCAGAAAUUCUUAUUUUUGCUCGUUAUUUUCUGUUAUUGAAUCUGUAAACUGCAUUUUUAUUUUAUUCAUUAAAUUCUUCAGCU
rnacentral:lncRNA from 1 species